rnacentral:lncRNA from 1 species
GGGUCUUAAGCUUUUUGUAACAUUGUAUUUAUGUAACCUUCAAUCAUUAUAUAUCAUUAAGUUUUUGUUACAACGAGGUUCACAAUAAACAUCAGUACAAAAUAAUCUAUCUGAAAAUAGAAAUAUUUCUAACUGAUUACAACAAUCAAAUUGAUGUCAUCUCGACCGAACAUCAUUUCCCUAACAUCCUUAUCAGUCUUCAUUCGCAC